rnacentral:rRNA from 1 species
GAAACCGGAGCUAAUACCGGAUAGUUCCUGAACCGCAUGGUUCAAGGAUGAAAGACGGUUUCGGCUGUCACUUACAGAUGGACCCGCGGCGCAUAGCUAGUUGGUGGGGUAAUGGCUCACCAAGGCGACGAUGCGUAGCCGACCUGAGAGGGUGAUCGGCCACACUGGGACUGAGACACGGCCCAGACUCCUACGGGAGGCAGCAGUAGGGAAUCUUCCGCAAUGGACGAAAGUCUGACGGAGCAACGCCGCGUGAGUGAUGAAGGUUUUCGGAUCGUAUAGCUCUGUUGUUAGGGAAGAACAAGUGCGAGAGUAACUGCUCGCACCUUGACGGUACCUAACCAGAAAGCCACGGCUAACUACGUGCCAGCAGCCGCGGUAAUACGUAGGUGGCAAGCGUUGUCCGGAAUUAUUGGGCGUAAAGGGCUCGCAGGCGGUUUCUUAAGUCUGAUGUGAAAGCCCCCGGCUCAACCGGGGAGGGUCAUUGGAAACUGGGAAACUUGAGUGCAGAAGAGGAGAGUGGAAUUCCACGUGUAGCGGUGAAAUGCGUAGAGAUGUGGAGGAACACCAGUGGCGAAGGCGACUCUCUGGUCUGUAACUGACGCUGAGGAGCGAAAGCGUGGGGAGCGAACAGGAUUAGAUACCCUGGUAGUCCACGCCGUAAACGAUGAGUGCUAAGUGUUAGGGGGUUUCCGCCCCUUAGUGCUGCAGCUAACGCAUUAAGCACUCCGCCUGGGGAGUACGGUCGCAAGACUGAAACUCAAAGGAAUUGACGGGGGCCCGCACAAGCGGUGGAGCAUGUGGUUUAAUUCGAAGCAACGCGAAGAACCUUACCAGGUCUUGACAUCCUCUGACAACCCUAGAGAUAGGGCUUUCCCUUCGGGGACAGAGUGACAGGUGGUGCAUG